UUGAAAGGGAAACGAUUGAAGUCAGUCAUACCAACGGGAAAUCAACCUUUUGAGCUUGGUCUCGUGGGUUUUGAAGAGUUUCAAAGCCUUCGGAUUCGCGAGUUUGGGAUCUCUUGGUGUACUUUUUCGUACGGUUAGUCAACAUCGGUUUUGAAUGUCAUAAAAUGACUGGAGGAAUGUAGCUUCGAUCUCGUAUUGAAGUGUUAUAGCCUUUGGUAGAUGUGAUGUUUGAGACCGAGGAUUGCAACGGAUACCCUUCAGGGCUAUUCGUCUGAUCUCUGAUACGUUGCCUUGAUGUUGAAAGCUUGCUUAUGAUGUUAGGGUAUUACGGUCAAAAGGUUAGAACGAAUUACAUUCGUUAAGGAUGUUGACGUA
rnacentral:rRNA from 1 species